rnacentral:rRNA from 1 species
AACGAACGCUGGCGGCAGGCCUAACACAUGCAAGUCGAACGCCCCGCAAGGGGAGUGGCAGACGGGUGAGUAACGCGUGGGAAUCUCCCUUAUGGUACGGAAUAGCCCCGGGGAACUCGGAGUAAUACCGUAUAAGCUCGAAAGAGGAAAGAUUUAUCGCCAUAAGAUGAGCCCGCGUUGGAUUAGCUAGUUGGUGAGGUAGCGGCUCACCAAGGCGACGAUCCAUAGCUGGUCUGAGAGGAUGAUCAGCCACACUGGGACUGAGACACGGCCCAGACUCCUACGGGAGGCAGCAGUGGGGAAUAUUGGACAAUGGGCGCAAGCCUGAUCCAGCCAUGCCGCGUGAGUGACGAAGGUCUUCGGAUUGUAAAGCUCUUUUGGCGGGGACGAUAAUGACGGUACCCGCAGAAUAAGCCCCGGCUAACUUCGUGCCAGCCGCCGCGGUAA